rnacentral:rRNA from 1 species
UACGGAGGGUGCGAGCGUUGUCCGGAAUCACUGGGCGUAAAGGGCGCGUAGGCGGCCUGCUAAGUAGGGGGUGAAAUCCUGCGGCUUAACCGCAGGGCUGCCUUCUAAACUGUCAGGCUGGAGCACAGUAGAGGCAGGUGGAAUUCCCGGUGUAGCGGUGGAAUGCGUAGAGAUCGGGAAGAACAUCAGUGGCGAAGGCGGCCUGCUGGGCUGUUGCUGACGCUGAGGCGCGACAGCGUGGGGAGCAAACAGG